GUUACCUUCAGUUCUACUUUUGUCUUGUUUCAAAGGCCUUAAAAGAACUGCUCAAUUACUUAUCCGAAGCACCUGGGUUACCUUACAAUUUGCGUGCUGUUGUUUAAAAAUAUUUUGUUUAUUAUUGUAUUAAUUUGUGUGUUUUGUAUUUUUCAUAGUUGCAUUUAGUGUGCCAAAAAAUAUGAAAACUAGGGUGUGUGAUAAAGGGUAUGCGAUAAAGGGUAGGGGUGUGAUAAAGGGUAUGCGAUAAAGGGUGCGCAUCAAAGUUGCGCGAUAUGGAUUAAACAGCAGGCUAUUUAUCACAUAUGCAAAACUACUGUAUUUACUACUAAACAUAUGAUAAAUAUAUAUAUAUAUAUU
rnacentral:lncRNA from 1 species